GGUGGCUCAGUGGUAGAGUGCUUGCCUUGCAUGCAUGAGGCCCUGGGCUCAAUAACUCAGCACCA
rnacentral:tRNA from 1 species